AUAGUUCUCAUAGUUCUAACCAUUAAUUUCCAGCCCUGCUCUCAUCCAUAAUGCUUGCUUUUUGCUUCCAUCAGAUGCUUCGAGGACAAAUCAGACCUGAGGAUUCUGAACAGGCUCCAUGGAAAAGUCCCUGUUCCAGAGGCCUAGCUGUCACAAUCCUGAUUUCUAUACCUCUUCAGUCUAGAUGCUUGCAUCGCAGGGAGACAAGAACAGAACGUGAAGGAAGGACUUUACGAUACUGACACAGAAACCAGUGAUAAGACUGAAAGGAAAACAGCAAGAAGUUUGGAACCUGGCUGUGGAAUCACACUGAUGACGUUUAAAGUCCAUGUCUGCCACUAACUACUUAUGUGACUGUAGGCAAAUUAUUUGAUCUCUCUGUGCGACUAUUUUCCUCAUCAGUAAAAUGAAGGUAGCAAUAUAAUUUAAUUUAGAAAUUUCGAGAAUUUAAUAUUAUGAUACCAUCUAAGCAGCUAGACACAUACCUGACACGGAAUAAAUGCCCAAUAAAAAUAUACGCUAUUAUUUUA
rnacentral:lncRNA from 1 species